UUCAGUUUAAGGUUUAAAACCCUAAUGCUGACUGAAAGGGAAAAGUUCCAGUUUAGGGUUUAAAACCCUAAUGCUGAUUGCAUGAAAAAGUUCAGUUUAAGGUUUAAAACCCUAAUGUUGACUGAAAGGGAAAAGUUCAGUUUAGGGUUUAAAACCCUAAUGCUGAUUGCAUGAAAAAGCUCAGUUUAGAGUUUAAAACUCUAAUGCUGGCUGAAAGGGAAAAGUUCAGUUUAGGGUUUAAAACCCCAAUGCUGACUAAAAGGAAAAUUCAGUUUAGGGUUUAAAACCCUAAUGCUGAUUGCAUGAAAAAGCUCAGUUUAGAGUUUAAAACUCUAAUGCUGGCGGGAAGGAAAAAUUAAGUUUAGGGUUUAAAACCCUAAUGCUGACUAAAAGGAAAAUUCAGUUUAGGGUUUAAAACCCUAAUGCUGAUUGCAUGAAAAAGCUCAGUUUAGAGUUUAAAACUCUAAUGCUGGCUGAAAGGGAAAAGUUCAGUUUAGGGUUUAAAACCCUAAUGCUGACUAAAAGGAAAAUUCAGUUUAGGGUUUAAAACCCUAAUGCUGAUUGCAUGAAAAAGCUCAGUUUAGAGUUUAAACCCCUAAUGCUGGCUGAAAGGAAAAAGUUCAGUUUAGGGUUUAAAACCCUAAUGCUGACUAAAAGGAAAAUUCAGUUUAGGGUUUAAAACCCUAAUGCUGAUUGCAUGAAAAACCUCAGUUUAGAGUUUAAAACUCUAAUGCUGGCGGGAAGGAAAAAGUUCAGUUUAGGGUUUAAAACUCUAAUGCUGAUUGCAUGAAAAAGCUCAGUUUAGAGUUUAAAACUCUAAUGUUGGCUGAAAGGAAAAAGUUCAGUUUAGGGUUUAAAACCCUAAUGCUGACUAAAAGGAAAAUUCAGUUUAGGGUUUAAAACCCUAAUGCUGAUUGCAUGAAAAAGCUCAGUUUAGAGUUUAAAACUCUAAUGCUGGCGGGAAGGAAAAAUUAAGUUUAGGGUUUAAAACCCUAAUGCUGACUAAAAGGAAAAUUCAGUUUAGGGUUUAAAACCCUAAUGCUGAUUGCAUGAAAAAGCUCAGUUUAGAGUUUAAAACUCUAAUGCUGGCUGAAAGGAAAAAAUCCAGUUUAGGGUUUAAAACCCUAAUGCUGAUUGCAUGAAAAACCUCAGUUUAGAGUUUAAAACUCUAAUGCUGGCGG
rnacentral:lncRNA from 1 species